CUCUUGUCUGACACCACGUAAGAUGGCGCCUUUGCUUCUCCUUCACCUUCCUCCAUGACUGUGAGGCCUCCCCAGCCAUGUGGAACUGGCUUCUCUCUGUCGCCCAGGCUGGAGUACAGGGAUGCGAUCUUGACUCACUGCAGCCUCAACCUCCUGGACUCAAGCCAUUCUCCCCCCUCAGCCUCCCCAGUAGCUGGGACUACAGGCGCCCACCACCACGCCCGGCUAAUUUUGUAUUUUUUGUAGAGACUGGGGUUUCUCCACCUCAUCCAGACUGGUCUUAAACUCCUGGGCUCAAGCAAUCCACCCACCUCAGCCUCCCACCGUGCUGAGAUUAUAGGCAUGAGCCACCGCGCCUGGCCUAUUUUCUUAGAUUUAUCCCUAAGUAAUACAUUUUCUUUGAUGCUAUUGUAAGGCCUUUCUUUGAUGCUACAAUAAGUCCUUUUAAAUUUCUCAUUUUCCAGUUAUUCACUUUCACUGCCAGAAUAUGCGAUGGGCUCUCGGGUAUGCAGUGUGCCAGUCAGCCCCACCCUGACACAGCGGAGCAGAGAGAGACGGUCCUGACGGAGCAGGCCAGGGAUCAGCACCGCCCACUGGGCCUCUGACCCCUCUGACCCAUGACCUCCAAGCCCUGCGGUCAGUCUGUGCCCAGGCCCAGUCUGUGCUGGAGCCCUCCCUGCAGCCCCCUCUGGCAGGACUUCAGAGGGAUCCCCAGCUCCUGGCCCACAUGGCCGCAUCUGGCCCAAACACACAUUCCUUUCGCCACUCUCCUCUGAAUGGAAUCUGGCUUGCCCCGCACAGCCUCUGCCUCCCUCUGCCCCGCACAGCACCCUCCCUCCCUCUGCCCCGCAUAGACCCUCCCUCCCUCUGCC
rnacentral:lncRNA from 10 species